rnacentral:rRNA from 1 species
AGUGAACGCUGGCGGUAGGCCUAACACAUGCAAGUCGAACGGCAGCACAGUAAGAGCUUGCUCUUACGGGUGGCGAGUGGCGGACGGGUGAGGAAUACAUCGGAAUCUACUUUUUCGUGGGGGAUAACGUAGGGAAACUUACGCUAAUACCGCAUACGACCUACGGGUGAAAGCAGGGGAUCUUCGGACCUUGCGCGAUUGAAUGAGCCGAUGUCGGAUUAGCUAGUUGGCGGGGUAAAGGCCCACCAAGGCGACGAUCCGUAGCUGGUCUGAGAGGAUGAUCCGCCACACUGGAACUGAGACUCGGUCCAGACUCCUACGGGAGGCAGCAGUGGGGAAUAUUGGACAAUGGGCGCAAGCCUGAUCCAGCCAUACCGCGUGGGUGAAGAAGGCCUUCGGGUUGUAAAGCCCUUUUGUUGGGAAAGAAAAGCAGCAGGUUAAUACCCCGCUGUUCUGACGGUACCCAAAGAAUAAGCACCGGCUAACUUCGUG